rfam:Myotis brandtii contig272220, whole genome shotgun sequence.
GGCAGUUCUCGGGGUGACGCACCCUGGAAUCCUGGAAUCAGGCUUCCUCUUCUCUGGUUCCGGGUGAGUCACCUGAGAACCGCA